rnacentral:rRNA from 1 species
GACGAACGCUGGCGGCGUGCUUAACACAUGCAAGUCGAACGAAGUGGCGAACGGGUGAGUAACGCGUAAUCACCCUGCCCUUCAGAGGGGGACAACAGUUGGAAACGACUGCUAAUACCGCAUACUGAAUGAGGGGAUUGCGUCUGAUUAGCUAGUUGGAGGGGUAACGGCCGACCAAGGCGAUGAUCAGUAGGCGGUCUGGGGAGAUGAACGGCAAACUUGGGACUGGGACACGGGCCAGACUCCUACGGGAGGCAGCAGUGGGGAAUCUUCCGAAAUGGACGAAAGUCCGACGGAGCAAAGCCGCGUGAGUUAUGACGGCCUUUGGGUUGGAAAGCUCUGUUAAUCGGGACGCGGUACCGGAAUAGAAAGCCACGGCUAACUACGUGCCAGCAGCCGCGGUAAUUC